CAGCGCCAGAGGGGGGCGCGGAGACCCUUCCUCGAUGCCCCACACAUCCAUGGCCCUGUGUUAGCCUCACGGAAGCUCAUCUUACUUGGAAAACGGGAGACCCCAGACACCAGCCACUCAAGGUCACUGGAACUUCCCACCAUCCGGACUCCCAUUGGCCAGUGGAGGGGGAACCAGCCCACCGGCCCGCUGAGCCCUGGACCCACCAAGGCCACAAGGAGAGCCCCACCCAGCCACCAGGAGUCCCUCCGUGUGUCCAGAGGCACGUGGCACGAGCCCGCACCCUCAGGAAAUAACUGGCCGGUCGACAGUGGAACACGAGUGAUUUUAAACCA